CAGGGCUGUGUUUCCUUCUAGCACCUUAAGGUGUGAAUCUGUGGUGGCUUCAGAUGAUCUGAAUCCCAGCGUCUCCCACCCCCUCUUCGCAUUCCCAGCUCCACACGUUCCCAUCUCUGUUCCCGUGCCUGCCAUGAGCACUUGUGCUGCCUCUCGCUUCAGCAGCGAGGCAUUGCCAACAAGGCUUAUUUGGGCUGUACAGGUACCUGAGUGGAGGAGACGAAGGAGGCCAGUUCACGUUUGGUUCCUGUUCUGAUUCAAGUCACAUCGCUCUGGAGUGCUCCCAGAUUUGGUAACAGAGCAAUUAAAGCACGAGGACAACAUUUCCAUCAGGAGCCGUCAAUGGGGGACCCGCAGUUAAGGUACAAAGCCGAGUGAUAAGAAUACCAACAUGCAAAAUCUGAUUGGAGUCCAAAGCUUACAGAAUUCGGGUGCACUUAGAUGUGGAUUUUGCCCCCCUUGGUUAUUCAAGAAUUACCUGUGAAAUUAAGAGUCAAACUAUUGCUUUUGAUAGACUAUUCCCAAUGACCGGCUAUGCUGUGUGCAACAUAAAGAUCCACUUAGAAUCACAGAAUAUCCCGAACUGGAAGAGACGCACCGUGAUCAUUGAGUCCAACUUCUGGCCCCACACAGAAC
rnacentral:lncRNA from 1 species